CACAAAAUAGUAAGUUGACGGCCGUUGCGUUUCUUUCAAUUUUCUUGAUGUCCUUGGCAUCAUAUUCAUUUUCCUCCUUUAGAACCAUGAUUUCCCUAACUUUGUUUGUUGGCAUUUGUUCACCUUUCUUGAUGAUUUGCCACAAUCGAAAGCUGUGUGAUUGGAUGAAUAUUCUCAUCCACUCUUUCCAGUAUGUAUAAUUUCUUCCAUCAAAGAAUGGAGGCCUCUCGGUGGAAUGUCCUUCGCUCAUUA
rnacentral:lncRNA from 1 species